rnacentral:siRNA from 1 species
UGGAUGGAGCUAGAAGUGA